AACGAACGCUGGCGGCAGGCUUAACACAUGCAAGUCGAACGCCCCGCAAGGGGAGUGGCAGACGGGUGAGUAACGCGUGGGAACGUACCUUUCAGUUCGGAAUAAUUCAGGGAAACUUGUGCUAAUACCGGAUACGCCCGCAAGGGGAAAGAUUUAUCGCUGAAAGAUCGGCCCGCGUUGGAUUAGCUAGUUGGUGGGGUAAAGGCCUACCAAGGCGACGAUCCAUAGCUGGUCUGAGAGGAUGAUCAGCCACACUGGGACUGAGACACGGCCCAGACUCCUACGGGAGGCAGCAGUGGGGAAUAUUGGACAAUGGGCGCAAGCCUGAUCCAGCCAUGCCGCGUGUGUGAUGAAGGCCUCGGUC
rnacentral:rRNA from 1 species